GCCUUCGUCGUGCAGUGGUCAGCACAAUUGGCGCGUAUUCGAGAGGUCCCUGGUUCGAGUCCCAGCGAGGGCA
rfam:Stegodyphus mimosarum contig68189, whole genome shotgun sequence.